GAGGGCAUAGCUCAAGUGGUGGAGCUCAUGCUUAGCACACAUGAGGUUCUGGCUUCAAUCCCCAGUACCUCCU
rfam:Camelus ferus unplaced genomic scaffold scaffold1603, whole genome shotgun sequence.